rnacentral:rRNA from 1 species
CCCUUAGAUGUCCUGGGCCGCACGCGCGCUACACUGACAUGUUCAACAAGCCUCCUAGUUCGACAGGAUUUGGGAAAUCUUUGAACGCAUGUCGUGAUAGGGAUAGAUCAUUGCAAUUAUUGAUCUUGAACGAGGAAUUCCUAGUAAACGCGAGUCAUCAGCUCGCAUUGAUUACGUCCCUGCCCUUUGUACACACCGCCCGUCGCUACUACCGAUUGAACGGUUUAGUGAGGGCCUCGGAUUGGUCUCGGCCCGCUCUUUACCGGGCGGCGCCGUUGGUCGAGAAGACGCUCGAACUUGAUCGUUUAGAGGAAGUAAAAGUCGCAACA